UUUAUGGAGAGUUUGAUCCUGGCUCAGGAUGAACGCUGGCGGCGUGCCUAACACAUGCAAGUCGAACGGUAACAGGUUCUCACUAUGCUUUUGAAGUUUUCGAAGGUUUAGUGAGAAUGCUGACGAGUGGCGGACGGCUGAGUAACGCGUGGGAACGUGCCCCAAAGUGAGGGAUAAGCACCGGAAACGGUGUCUAAUACCGCAUAUGAUCUUCGGAUUAAAGCAGCAAUGCGCUUUGGGAGCGGCCUGCGUCGGAUUAGGUUGUUGGUGAGGUAAUGGCUCACCAAGCCGACGAUCCGUAGCUGGUCUGAGAGGAUGACCAGCCAGACUGGAACUGAGACACGGUCCAGACUCCUACGGGAGGCAGCAGUGAGGAAUCUUCCACAAUGGGGGCAACCCUGAUGGAGCAACGCCGCGUGC
rnacentral:rRNA from 1 species